rnacentral:lncRNA from 1 species
GGCGCUUUCGUUGGCAGAGAGCGCGUGAGAAUCACCACCCACGGAACAGAGGGAGACAGCGCAAGAAGGGGCAACUCCCAGCUGCGGGAAUAGUGGAAACAACGCCACCUGAUUGUGUCUGGCAGGCUCGCGGAGGGGUGAAGAAAGCUGGCACUUUUCCCCUUAGUGCCAUUUUAUGCUGUACUGGUAGUUUUUUCAACGUCAUAAAGCCAGGACUGCCCCUAACGUAUUUAUGAAUACACUACAAGUGUGGAUAUGGAAUGUUAGCCUUUCGGGUUUUAAAUCAUUUCCUGUUUACCCUUGGGAUGUAGGAAACGAGAGUUCCAGGAAAGUGGACUUGUCUUCAGGAACAAAUCAGUGUCAUUGUAAAUACAAGACUUAA